CGAAAGCCUGACGGAGCAAUACCGCGUGAGGGAGGAAGGCUCUUGGGUUGUAAACCUCUUUUCUCAGGGAAUAAUUCAAUGAAGGUACCUGAGGAAUAAGCAUCGGCUAACUCCGUGCCAGCAGCCGCGGUAAUACGGAGGAUGCAAGCGUUAUCCGGAAUGAUUGGGCGUAAAGCGUCCGCAGGUGGCCCUGUAAGUCUGCUGUCAAAGCGCAAGGCUUAACCUUGUAAAGGCAGUGGAAACUACAGAGCUAGAGUGCGUUCGGGGCAGAAGGAAUUCCUGGUGUAGCGGUGAAAUGCGUAGAUAUCAGGAAGAACACCGGUGGCGAAAGCGUUCUGCUAGGCCGCAACUGACACUGAGGGACGAAAGCUAGGGGAGCC
rnacentral:rRNA from 1 species